rnacentral:rRNA from 1 species
ACGCUCGACACCUACGGAGGCAGCAGUGGGGAAUAUUGCACAAUGGGGGAAACCCUGAUGCAGCGACGCCGCGUGAGUGAAGAAGUAUUUCGGUAUGUAAAGCUCUAUCAGCAGGGAAGAAGAUGACGGUACCUGAGUAAGAAGCCCCGGCUAACUACGUGCCAGCACGCCCGGUAGGUAAUCUGAGGCGGGCGUGGACGAAGGC